UCUUCAAUACUGAGCCGCUGAGUUGGAUCCGUUCGCAGCAAGCCCUUGAUCAGGUCCUUAGCUGCAAUGACACGUCAACAAGGCUAGGAAGGAGCACUUUGAACUAUUCAUCAAACACUGUAGAUCCUUUAGCAAAGGGACUCCAUUCAACACUAGGCUACAAAAUGAAGUCAAGUGCGAGUGCAUUUAUGACGCAGAAGGGUCAAUUCACCAAAAGGUCAAUGUAUCUUGUGCAUUCUUAACCCCUUGGCUUCCGUAUUCUACACAGCCAGUCCCACAAGGUAUUCAGCAGAAACGUUUUCACGCUUGGGUCGGUGCAUAUAAAUUGCAUGGGGCAGGCAUGGGUUGGUACAUAUAAAUUGCAAUAAAAUCAGCAAGAAUUGUCAUAGAACAACAAA